GGAAGGGUCGCAUAGUCUGGCCUAGUGCGCGCGACUGGAAAUCGCGUAGGCGGUUACACCGCCUCGAGGGUUCGAAUCCCUCCCCUUCCGCCA
rnacentral:tRNA from 1 species